AUUGAACGCUGGCGGCAGGCCUAACACAUGCAAGUCGGGCGAGCGGCGGACGGGUGAGUAUUGUAUGUGGAUCUGCCUGAUGGAGGGGGAUAACUACUGGAAACGGUAGCUAAUACCGCAUACCGUCAGUUGAACCCUUAUGGGAUUAGCUUGUAGGUAAGGUAACGCAUUACCUAGGCGACGGUCCCUAGCUGGUCUGAGAGGAUGAUCAGCUACAUUGGGACUGAGAUACGGCCCAGAUGCCUACGGGAGGGAGCAGUGGGGAAUCUUGGACAAGGGGCGCAAGCCGGAGGCGGCCAUGCGGCGUUUAUGAAGAAGGCCUUCGGGUUGUAAAGUACUUUCAGUCGGGAGGCUUCACCCACAGAGUAAGCACCGGCUAACUCCGUGCCAGAAGCCGCGGUAAUAC
rnacentral:rRNA from 1 species